rnacentral:rRNA from 1 species
UACGGAGGGUGCAAGCGUUGCUCGGAAUUAUUGGGCGUAAAGGGUAUGUAGGCGGUCUCAUUUGUCUGAGGUGAAAGCCUUGGGCUUAACCCAAGAAGUGCCUCAGAAACGGUGAGACUAGAGUCCUAGAGAGGGUCGUGGAAUUCCCGGUGUAGCGGUGAAAUGCGUAGAGAUCGGGAGGAACACCAGAGGCGAAGGCGGCGACCUGGAUAGGUACUGACGCUCAACUACGAAAGCGUGGGGAGCAAACAGG